rnacentral:tRNA from 1 species
GUGGAAGUAGCUCAGUUGGUUAGAGCACUAGAUUGUGGAUCUAGGGGUCGGGGGUUCGAUUCCCCUCUUCCACC